rnacentral:rRNA from 1 species
AGAGUUUGAUCAUGGCUCAGGACGGGCGCUGGCGGCGUGCUUAACACAUGCAAGUCGAGCGGAAAGGCCCUUCGGGGAACUCAAGCGGCGAACGGGUGAGUAACACGUGAGCAACCUGCCCCUGGCUCUGGGAUAGCCUCCGGAAACGGGGAUAAAUACCGGACAUUCACUCUUCUGGGCAUCCUAGAGGGUGGAAAGUUUUUUCGGCCGGGGAGGGGCUCGCGGCCUAUCAGCUUGUUGGCGGGGUAACGGCCCACCAAGGCGACGACGGGUAGCCGGCCUGAUAGGGCGACCGGCCACACUGGGACUGAUACACGGCCCACACUCCUACUGGAGGCAGCAGUGGGGAAUAUUGCGCAAUGGGCGGAAGCCUGACGCAGCGACGCCGCGUGGGGGAUGAAGGCCUUCGGGUUGUAAACCCCUUUCACCAGGAGCGAAUCAAGACGGUACCUGGGGAAGAAGCGCCGGCUAACUACUUGCCACCAGCCGCGGUAAUACUUAGGGCGCAAGCGUUGUCCGGAAUUAUUGCGCGUAAAGAGCUCGUAGGCGGCCUGUCUCGUCCGCUGUGAAAUCCUGGGGCUUAACCCCGGGCCUGCUGUGGAUACGGGCUGGCUAGAGGCAGGCAGGAGAGAACGGAAUUCCCGGUGUAGCGGUGAAAUGCGCAGAUAUCUGGAGGAACACCGCUGGCGAAGGACGUUCUCUGGGCCUGUUCUGACGCUCAGGAGCGAAAGCGUCGUGAGCAGACAGGAUUAGAUACCCUGCUAGUCCACGCCGCAGACGAUGAGCGC